rnacentral:rRNA from 1 species
AGAGCGAACGCUGGCGGCAGGCCUAACACAUGCAAGUCGAGCGCCCGUAGCAAUACGGGAGCGGCAGACGGGAUAGUAACACGUGGGAACGCGCCCUUCGGUUCGGAAUAACUCAGGGAAACUUGAGCUAAUACCGGAUACGCCCUUACGGGGAAAGAUUUAUUGCCGAAGGAACGGCCCGCGUCCGAUUAGCUAGUUGGUGAGGUAAUGGCUCACCAAGGCGACGAUCGGUAGCUGGUCUGAGAGGAUGACCAGCAUCACUGGGACUGAGACACGGCCCAGACUCCUACGGGAGGCAGCAGUGGGAAUAUGGACAAUGGGCGCAAGCCUGAUCCAGCCAUGCCGCGUGGAUGAUGAAGGCCUUAGGGUUGUAAAGUCCUUUAACGGGGAAGAUAAUGACGGUACCCGUAGAAUAAGCCCGGCUAACUUCGUGCCAGCAGCCGC